GCUCCUCCCUGCCCAGCCCGCAAAUGGUGGUGCUGCUACUGUACUUAUGGGGCUCGGUUCAGGUCAGAGUGCACAUCCAUAGCUGCAUUCCAGCCCACUACUUGAAGACCAGGGAUGCGUGAUGUGCCCAGGCCUGAAUGCUAACAGAGACCCCCACAUCCCACUCCACAGUGGAAAAGCAGCAAAUAGGUGGAGCAGAGGCAAAGUCAAUCAGAUAGCCCAGUGGCCUGUCACUACUGUGAGAUGCCCAGUCAGAGGCUGGAAUCUGUUGGGGCUGCUGUAACGCUAGAUUUCCUGUAUCAAGCAGGAGGUUGGACCAGAUGGCCUCCAGCUGUAUGAUUCUACUAAUCUACUUGCAUUCAGAAAUCAUUGCAGAGGUGAACUUGACUCCUGCUCAAUCAACAGGAACCGAAGCACCAUGCAAAAUGUGCUGGGUACCAAAAGCAAUAGCAGCAAUGAAAAACUGAAGUGUUUAUCAGUUUCAAGAACACUCAAGAUUGUGCAGAACAAUUCCAUAGUUCAGCAACUUAUCUGCUUCUCUGAUAUACAACAUUUAAGUAUUGCCCUAAGCCAUUUAACGUGCAGAUAUGGGGACCAGGGUAGCCUAAAGUAAUGAUCUGAAACUUUGGUGAUACUAUUCUAUUGCCUUCAGACCGAUUUCCCAUAAGAAAUAAACUUUCCCAAUGAAUUUUCCCCCAUUCACUUGGUUCAAGCACUGUUAUCUUUUAACAUUUUAUGAAACAGAUUGACUUUUUGUAGGUUUGCCCUUGAACUGAAAAGUUGAGUCUUUCAAAAGUAUUUUAACAGUAUUCAGGAUUAUGGCUCUGGCCCUCUUAGCUGCAUGUAUGCAUCCUCAGGCAUAAAAAUCUAGAUAUGCUGAAUGUGUAGCUCUUGCCCUUCUAACAUUGGCACUGAUGUCAUGAAAUUCUCACAAACAUUUUAAUUCCUGAAGCGAAGGCUCAUGUUGACAAAUCAUAGAAGUGUCUCCUUUCCCCAGUCAUUCCACCUGGUAAUUAUGUAAAAAUUUUGUGAGGUUGGAUGCUUGUGAAUUUGCUUAUUUUCUUUUUCUCUUCAUGCUCCUUUUUCUUUUGUAUUCUGUCUAUUAUUUAUUUAUUUAUCUCUCAAACUUCUAUACCACCCAAACUUUUGUCUAUUACACUAUAAGCCAUUAUUUUCAUAAAGCACCUUGAGUUCAUUGCAAGAAAGGAUGUAUAUUUUCCAAAUAAGUCAAUAAAACUCUACUUACGUAUUA